rnacentral:other from 1 species
UAUUACCUGGGGUGUACGACAACCUGUUAUUUUGAACCUACAAACUGUGCACGGGAAUCUGAUUUCCUCACUAGCUAUGUCAGGCCACAACCUAAUUCCCUCACUGGUUUACCACAGGGCAGUGGAAGGCAGAAUGAGUGUGAAAGAUACCCACCUAGAGCGAUCUAGGGCGUCAAAAUCGCAGGACCGGCAUUUUGGGCAAUAU